CUCGUAGGUGGUUUGUCGCGUUGUUCGUGAAAACUCACAGCUUAACUGUGGGCGUGCGGGCGAUACGGGCAGACUGGAGUACUGCAGGGGAGAUUGGAAUUCCUGGUGUAGCGGUGGAAUGCGCAGAUAUCAGGAGGAACACCGGUGGCGAAGGCGGGUCUCUGGGCAGUAACUGACGCUGAGGAGCGAAAGCGUGGGGAGCGAACA
rnacentral:rRNA from 1 species